rnacentral:siRNA from 1 species
GAUCGACUCCAGUACUUUAGGGUC